AUACAGAUGUUCAAACCGCUACUAGAUGCAUACUUGCAAAAACAGAAUGUUCAAGGAUAUAAUCUUUCAAUGUAGGGUAAUAACUGCUUGAUCCAAGGAUAAAUCUGACUGCCAUUCUGGUCAAGAAGGAAUUUUUUUCCUAGCUUGUUGCAAAAUUGUGCUAAAAAAAUGGUUUUUUUGCCUUCUUUUGGAUCAACAGCAAACAACAAAUGUGAGGAAGGCUGAACUUGAUGGACGCAAGUCUCUUUUCAGCUAUGUAACUAUGUAACUAUGUAUGUAACACUUAACAGACUUGUCUAAG